GAUCAUGGCUCAGAUUGAACGCUGGCGGCAUGCCUUACACAUGCAAGUCGAACGGCAGCACGGGCAACCUGGUGGCGAGUGGCGAACGGGUGAGUAAUGCAUCGGAACGUGCCAUUGAGUGGGGGGUAACGUAGCGAAAGUUACGCUAAUACCGCAUAUUCUGUGAGCAGGAAAGCAGGGGAUCGCAAGACCUUGCGCUCUUUGAGCGGCCGAUGUCAGAUUAGCUAGUUGGUGAGGUAACGGCUUACCAAGGCGACGAUCUGUAGCGGGUCUGAGAGGAUGAUCCGCCACACUGGAACUGAGACACGGUCCAGACUCCUACGGGAGGCAGCAGUGGGGGAAUUUUGGACAAUGGGGGCAACCCUGAUCCAGCCAUGCCGCGUGAGUGAAGAAGGCCUUCGGGUUGUAAAGCUCUUUCGGCCGGGAAGAAAUCGCAUGGGUUAAUACCCUGUGUGGAUGACGGUACCGGCAUAAGAAGCACCGGCUAACUACGUG
rnacentral:rRNA from 1 species